AUGCGCCCCGGGCCCCCGCGCCCCCGCCUCCGGAGACGGCUGCCCCCGGGCGUGCGGGGCGAGGCGCGGGCCGCCGGCAGGACGCGCGGCCUAGUCCGAGAGCGCCUCAUUCAUCCACGCGCCCCACGCCGCCCUGCCCUCGCCCAUCCCGGCCACCCCGCCCGGCCUCACGCUCGCCUCCCGGCCGCCGGCUGGGCCCCAGACGGGGCGGGCAGCGCGCCCGCGGGCUCCCGGAGGGACUCACCGUGCUCGGGCCGGGCGAUGACACGGGGUCCCAGCGGCCGCGGGAGACGGGUCCUGCCGGCAAAGGGAGGCGGGGAGGAAGGAGGAGAAAGCGCAAGCCCGGCCCCUCCGCCGAGCAGCACGCACGGCGGCGGAACGGGCGGGCCGGGCUCCGGGCUCCGGGCGGCACCUGCGCGCAGACCGCGCGCCGCGCCCCGCCCCCCGCUCCCGCCCGCCCCGCCCAUUGGUCGGCCGCGCCGGGGGGCGGAGUCACGCGGCGCCGGGGGGCGGGGCGGGGGAGGGGCCGCGCGAGCCCGAGCCCCGCGCGCCGCGCCCCGCCCCCCGCUCCCGCCCGCCCCGCCCAUUGGUCGGCCCCGCGGAGGGGGCGGAGUCACGCGGCGCCGGGGGCGGGGCGGGGCGGGGCGGAGGGAGGGGCCGCGCGAGCCCGGAGCCUGGAGCCCCAGCCCUGCCCGCCGGCCUCCGCGACGCGCCCCGGGAGCCCCGCGCUUCCGCGCUCGGAGCACGUGGAGCUCGGCCGCUCCGGCUCUGCGCUCCCCUCCCGCAGGGCGCGCGCUCUCGGAGGCCCGCAGCCCCGCGCAUCACCCGCGGCGUCGCGGAGCACCCUCGGCCCGACCGCCCGCCCCGGGUCGGCCCCCCCGCCCCCGCCCCCGCCCCGAGGCCUGGCGAGCUGCAGCGCGGCUCCUGCGGACCUCCUGGCUGCCCCCCCGGGCCCUCGGGGACCACGGCCCCAGCCCCCAGCCUUUUCCUAGAACUUUCUGCAGCCAAUCCAAACCGUGA
rnacentral:lncRNA from 1 species